rnacentral:rRNA from 1 species
GAUCCUGGCUCAGGAUGAACGCUAGCUACAGGCUUAACACAUGCAAGUCGAGGGGCAUCAUGUUGGUUGCUUGCAACCAAUGAUGGCGACCGGCGCACGGGUGAGUAACGCGUAUCCAACCUUCCCCUUAGUAGGGGAUAGCCCGGCGAAAGUCGGAUUAAUACUCUAUGUUCUUCAAUGCGGACAUCUAAGUUGAAGCAAAGAUUUAUCGCUAAGGGAUGGGGAUGCGUCUGAUUAGGUUGCAGGCGGGGUAACGGCCCACCUGGCCUACGAUCAGUAGGGGUUCUGAGAGGAAGGUCCCCCACACUGGUACUGAGACACGGACCAGACUCCUACGGGAGGCAGCAGUGAGGAAUAUUGGUCAAUGGGCGCGAGCCUGAACCAGCCAAGUAGCGUGCAAGGACGACUGCCCUAUGGGUUGUAAACUGCUUUUAUCAGGGAAUAAAGUGAGGCACGCGUGCCUUUUUGUAUGUACCUGAUGAAUAAGGACCGGCUAAUUCCGUGCCAGCAGCGGC